rnacentral:rRNA from 1 species
GUGCCAGCCGCCGCGGUAAUACGGAGGGUGCAAGCGUUAAUCGGAAUUACUGGGCGUAAAGCGUGCGUAGGCGGUUGUUUAAGUCAGAUGUGAAAGCCCCGGGCUUAACCUGGGAACGGCAUUUGAUACUGGGCAACUAGAGUGUGGUAGAGGAGAGCGGAAUUUCCGGUGUAGCGGUGAAAUGCGUAGAUAUCGGAAGGAACACCAGUGGCGAAGGCGGCUCUCUGGACCAACACUGACGCUGAGGUACGAAAGCGUGGGUAGCAAACAGGAUUAGAUACCCCAGUAGUCC